rnacentral:tRNA from 1 species
GCAGUUGUGGCCUACUGGUUAGGGCUUUGGGCUUAUAAGCGAAGGGUUGCCUGUUCGAUCCCCGACCAGUAGGA